rnacentral:rRNA from 1 species
GACGAACGCUGGCGGCGGGUCUAAUACAUGCACGUAGAACAGUUCCGAACGGGUGAGUAACGCGUAGGUAACUGCCUCAUAGCGGGGACUAAGUAUUGUAAACGAUAGCUAAUAACGCAUAAUGUGAGAUGGACCUGCGUUGCAUUAGCUAGUUGGUGAGGUAAAUGCUCACCAAGGCGACGAUACAUAGCCGACCUGAGAGGGUGAUCGGCAACAGUGCGACUGAGACCCGGCCCAGACUCCUACGGGAGGCAGCAGUAGGGAAUCUUCGGCAAGGGACGGAAGUCUGACCGAGCAACGCGGCGGGAGUGAAGAAGGUUUUCGGAUCGUAGAGCUCUGUUGUUAGAGACGCGGUAACUAACCAGAAAGGGACGGCUAACUACGUGCCAGCAGCCGCGGUAAUAC